rnacentral:rRNA from 1 species
CAAUAGCGUAUAUUAAAGUUGUUGCGGUUAAAAGCUCGUAGUUGGAUUUCUGUUGAGGUCGGGCGGUGUACACCUCGUGUAUUAUUUGCUUCGGUCUCGGCAUCCUCUUGGGGAACGUAUCAGGACUUUAUUGGACUGUGCGAGAUUCAAGACUUUUACUUUGAGGAAAUUAGAGUGUUCACGGCAGGCAAGUGCUUUGAAUACAUUAGCAUGGAAUAAUAAUAUAGGACCUUCGUUCUAUUUUGUUGGUUUCUAGAACUUAGGUAAUGAUUAAUAGGACAAUAGGGGCGAUCGUAUUAACGACGUCAGAGGUGGAAUUCUUGGAUUGCGUUACGACGAACUACUGCGAAAGACAUUUGUCCAAAGAAUGUUUUCUAUUGAUCAAGAACGAAAGUAUGGGGAUCGAAGACGAUUAGAUACCAU